UGGGGAAUAUUGCACAAUGGAGGAAACUCUGAUGCAGCGACGCCGCGUGAGUGAAGAAGGUCUUCGGAUCGUAAAACUCUGUCCUUGGUGACGAAAAAAAUGACGGUAGCCAAGGAGGAAGCCCCGGCUAACUACGUGCCAGCAGCCGCGGUAAUACGUAGGGGGCGAGCGUUGUCCGGAUUUACUGGGCGUAAAGGGUGAGUAGGAGGUAAUAUGUGUCAGAUGUAAAAGGCUAUGGCUUAACCAUAGUUGGCAUUUGAAACUGUAUUACUUGAGUGCAGGUGAGGUAAGUGGAAUUCCUAUUGUAGCGGUGAAAUGCGUAGAUAUUAGGGGGAACACCAGUGGCGAAGGCGACUUACUGGACUGUAACUGACGUUGAGUCACGAAAGCGUGGGUAGCAAACA
rnacentral:rRNA from 1 species